AGAGUUUGAUUCUGGCUCAGAACGAACGCUGGCAGCGUGGAUUAGGCAUGCAAGUCGAACGAGAACCCAUCCGUUCAAUCUUUCGGGAGAGAACAGGUGGUGGAAAGUGGCGAAAGGGUGAGGAACACGUGGGCAAUCUACCUCUUAGUUGGGGAUAACCUCAAAACCGAGGCUAAUACCGGAUGUGAUCUUUCAACGCAUGUUGAGAUGAUCAAAGGCGGGGAUCUUUCGGGACCCGCCGCUAAGAGAGGAGCCCGCGUCCCAUCAGCUUGUUGGUAGGGUAACGGCCUACCAAGGCUUACGGGUAGCUGGUCUGAGAGGAUGGUCAGCCACACUGGGACUGAGACACUGCCCAGACUCCUACGGGAGGCUGCAGUCGAGGAUCAUUGUCAAUGCGCGAAAGCGUGAACAUGCGACGCUGCGUGAAGGAUGAAGGCCUUAGGGUCGUAAACUUCUGUCAUUCGGGAAAAAUUGUCACGGUAUUAAUACCACUGUGACUUGAUGGUACCGAAAGAGGAAGCCACGGCUAACUCUGUGCCAGCAGCCGCGGUAAUACAGAGGUGGCGAGCGUUGUUCGGAUUUACUGGGCGUAAAGGGUGCGUAGGCGGUUCUGUGUGUCGAAUGUGAAAGCCCAUGGCUCAACCAUGGAAUUGCAUCCGAAACUACAGGACUAGAGUACAGGAGGGGAGAGCGGAAUUCUUGGUGUAGCGGUGAAAUGCGUUGAUAUCAAGAAGAACACCGGUGGCGAAGGCGGCUCUCUGGAAUGUUACUGACGCUGAGGCACGAAAGCUGGGGGAGCAAACAGGAUUAGAUACCCUGUAGUCCCAGCCGUAAACGGUGUGCACUUGGUGUGGGAGGUAUUGACCCCUUCCGUGCCGGAGCUAACGCGUUAAGUGCACCGCCUGGGGAGUACGGCCGCAAGGCUAAAACUCAAAGAAAUUGACGGGGGCCCGCACAAGCGGAGGAGCAUGUGGCUUAAUUCGAUGCAACGCGAAGAACCUUGCCAGGGCUUGACAUGUAGCUGCACGUCCGGUGAAAGCCGGAUUCCUUCGAGGGUGCUACACAGGUGCUGCAUGGCUGUCGUCAGUUCGUGCCGUGAGGUGUUGGGUUAAGUCCCGCAACGAACGCAACCCCUGUGUCUAGUUGCCACUUUCGGUGAUGAGCCGAGAAGCACUCUAGACAGACUGCCCGUACAAGCGGGAGGAAGGUGGGGACGACGUCAAGUCAGUAUGGCCCUUACGCCCUGGGCUGCACACGUGCUACAAUGGUCGGUACAAAGGGACGCAAGACCGCGAGGUGGAGCAAAUCCCCAAAACUGGCCCCAGUUCGGAUUGGAGCCUGCAACUCGACUCCAUGAAGUUGGAUUCGCUAGUAACGGCGUAUCAGCUACGGCGCCGUGAAUACGUUCCCGGGCCUUGUACACACCGCCCGUCACAUCAUGAAAGCCGUCUGCACCCGAAGUCGUUGAUCUAACCCGCAAGGGAGGAAGACGCCGAAGGUGUGGGUGGUGAUU
rnacentral:rRNA from 1 species